UCAGAAGAUUAGAUUUGUGUUCAAGACAGUUCAUCUAAAACCGAACCCUCACGUUGCUCCAAACCUGCAUGUCUGCAAAACAGAUCCAUUUCUAGCGAUGCUCUGCAAGACUGUGACAGUCACUGUCCACUUGAAUUGAAGACACAAUAAGAAAAGGAGCAACACGAGGUGGGACAGAAAAAUCUGUUGAGACUUUAGUAUGUUGGGACACUCAGAGGACAACUUAAAUGAUCAGAAGAUCUUCACAACAAUCUUCAACAUCAGGGUCACAGUUACUUCACCACAAGGACUUCAGGGUCAGUGCGUUUACUUUAUCCUCUUUCUAAAAUUUUAUGUAGACCUUUCAUUUAAAAAUACAACAGGAACAAUUACAAGCAAUAAUCCUCAAUGUUGGAUCCUUAACUUAAAACCUAAAUGCUAAAAAAAUAAAAAUAGAAAUGAGACUUUAAGAUAGAUUCACAUUUUAAUAUGUUGGAGAAAAUUGUGUUUGUCCUCUUGCAGAACAUUUCAAAUGUUAGUAUGUUCAGUAUGAAACUAACCAUCUACUGAUGUUCAGUGAGUUUACUUAUGUAUGUCUAAACAUGGUUUAAUAAUAUUGUCAGAACAUGUCAUUCAUAUAGAAUAAAAUCUUAACCCACCCUGUAUAUGAUGAAUCAUGUUUUUUAAAGUUCU